GGGAAAGGUGAAAAGCACCCCGAGAGGGGAGUGAAACAGCGCCUGAAACCGUGCGCCCCCAAGCAGCGGGAGCCGUUCCGACGACGGUGACCGCGUGCCUUUUGUAGAAUGAGCCUGCGAGUCGCGGCAUGCGGCGAGGUUAAGGGACACCGAGCCGCAGCGAAAGCGAGCCUGAACAGGGCGAUUUGAGUCGCAUGCCGCGGACGCGAAGCCGGGUGAGCUAUCCAUGGGCAGGGUGAAGCGGGGGUAAGACCCCGUGGAGGCCCGAACCCACUUCGGUUGAAAACGGAGGGGAUGACCCGCGGAUAGGGGUGAAAGGCCUAUCAAACCCGGAGAUAUCUCGUUCUCCCCGAAACAGCUUUAGGGCUGGCCCCGGGCAUUGACCAUCGGAGGUAGAGCACUGGACCGGCGAGGGGGCCUCACCGCCUACCGACCCAGACCAAACUCCGAAUGCCGAUGGUUCCGACCCCGGGAGUCAGAGCGCGUGGGCUAAGCUGCGCGCUCGAGAGGGAAACAGCCCAGACCGCCCGCCAAGGCCCCAAAGGCCGUGCUAAGUGGCAAAGGAUGUGCGCCCGCCCAGACAACCAGGAUGUUGGCUUAGAAGCAGCCAUCCAUUCAAAGAGUGCGUAACAGCUCACUGGUCGAGUGGGGGCGCGCCGACAAUGCGCGGGGCUCAAGCACGGCGCCGAAGCGGCGGAAUCAUGAAUUUGAUUGGUAGGGGAGCUUUCCAUGCCGGGCGAAGCCGGAGGCGCGAGCCCCGGUGGACGGCAUGGAAGUGAGGAUGCAGGCAUGAGUAGCGAGAGAGCGGCGAGAAACCGCUCCGCCGAAAACCCAAGGUUUCCUGGGCGAGGCUAAUCCCCCCAGGGUCAGCCGGGAGCUAAGGCGAGGCCGCAAGGCGCAGCCGAUGCACGACGGGCAGACAUUCCCGUGCCGGCGCGGGCGCGCUACGACCGAUGGGACGACGGGGAAGGAUACGCGAGCGGGGUUCUGGACGUCCCCGUGAAAGCGCGUAGGGAGGGGCCCAGGGAAAUCCGGUCCCCACACAUCCCGAGACGCGAGACGAGCCCUAUGGCGAAGUCGCGGAUUCCAUGCCUCCCAGAAAAAUCCCUAGGCAGCGCCCACGCCGCCCGUACCAAAACCGACACAGGUGGGUAGGAAGAGCAUUCCGAGGCGAUCGGGGCAACCAUGGUCAAGGAACUCGGCAUAAUCGUCCCGUAACUUAGGGAGAAGGGACGCCCCCCAGCGUGUACCGGCUCGCCCGGGAAGCGCCGGGGGGCCGCAGCGAAAGGGCCCAAGCGACUGUUUACCAAAAACACAGGACUCUGCCAAGCCGCGAGGCGAAGUAUAGGGUCUGACGCCUGCCCGGUGCCGGAAGGUCACGGGGAUCCGUUAGCCUUUGGCGAAGCGGUGAACCCAAGCCCCGGUAAACGGCGGCCGUAACUAUAACGGUCCUAAGGUAGCGAAAUUCCUUGUCGGGUAAGUUCCGACCUGCACGAACGGCGCAACGACUUGGGCGCUGUCUCGACCAUGGGCCCGGCGAAAUUGCAUUAUCCGUGAAGAUGCGGAUUCCCCGCGGAAGGACGGAAAGACCCCGUGAACCUUUACUGC
rnacentral:rRNA from 1 species